ACCAAAUGGCUUUUUUCAAAGCUAAAAUGUCAGCUCAUUGAAAACAGUUACUGAAAUAAAAUUAAUUUAAGAAUAUCUUUCCAAAUAUUUUAGACUGGAAAUUUUGAAAUCAGAUUAAAUUUUGGGUUUCUGACUUAAAUGUUUACUUGUAGAUUUAAAAGAACAAUAUUAAUACAUUAAAUCAAAAUUUUCCUCACUCUUCAUUCUUAUUAUCUUUGUUAUGGUUGCAAUAAACAGGAUAAGUUGUGGAUUUAUUUCUGUUACUCUUUUUUUCACCUGUGUGUGCCCCUCCCCCUUCCUUUUAUGUUCAAUUUUCAAACCUUCCUUGACUUUGGAAGGCAGAAGGGAAAAGGGCAUUAGUGUGAAUAGGCUAUCACACAUCCUGAAGUAUUGAGAAAAUGGUAAAAAAGUAAAAAGAUGAAGAGAAAACAAAAAGCUAAUGUUUAUAAAUUAAAGGCUUUGAGGUAAAGUGACUUAAAACAAAAAUUUUUCUAGCAAGUACAUUUGAAUUGAAUAUUUUUAAAUUGUUGAGGGAGGACUGGGUGGUGUCUAUAUUUAAAAUUUCCCCUGAAACUUUCUUGAAUGGAAAAGGUGAAGAGUAUUUUGGGAAGACUUUUCCAUAAAGAAACCUGAGAUUUUAGAUGAACGGGGCAAACUACACAACACCUUUUAGGGCAUUUUUAUUAAUAAAUAAUAAAUUUAUAGAAAUCAGUCUCAUUUUUCUGUAUUCAGGUAACUUUGUUUAUGUAGGGCCCAUCAAGAAAAAACAGUUGUCAAGAAGUUAACAGCACUACAGUCUUUAUAUAAACUUGCUCUAACAGGCCAAGCUUACUUGUAAAGUUUCCCUCCCCUUUCUGAAAGUGUCCUUCAAAUGCACAGUUUGUGUUUUGUCAGAUGGUUCAGGCUGCCUAGAAACAGCCUUUCCUGAGCAGGAGCUUGGGACAGAGCCUAACUUCUCAACUGGAUGCCUGCAGUGAGGCAGUGCUGUGUGAUGAGCACAGCAAACACAGGAGUGGAGUGACAGGAGUUUGCAGCAGACAUCCCAGGAACCCCUAGAACAUCAGCUGAGCUUGCCCACAUUUCAGUAGUGGUCAGGGUUGCCCUCAUCCAGGCAGAGACUUGUUGGGGCCUGCCUGCUCUGAGAGUCUCUCACAGGAUGCAUAGCCCCUCAGCUGCUCCUCCCAUAGCUUCCAAGAGAUAGUGAAAGCCACUCGCAGCAUAUCUUAAGUUUGUACUGGAUACACGAAGAUCGAUCAACAGCAGAACAGGGAAAAAAUAUUUUCAAAUAAAAUUCCUUUUUAUUUCAGUUAAAUUGCAAAUUUAAUUUCUUGAAUAACUUAUCACAGCAAUAUGACAAGCGGGACAUAUGCUUUUGGUUCUUGAUGGAGCUUCCCAUGUGUUUCACAACAAAAUAUUUAAAUAACAGCAAUUUCUUUUAAAAAAUGAUUAAUAUGGAUAAUACCACCAACAGAAGAAUCACCUGAAGCCCACAUGCAGCACUUGCUAAUGCAUGCAUUGGCUAAAUCCAAAGAUUUAGUUUUAAAAGGUAUAUGGAACGUGUGCCAGAAAAACGCAGCAGGCUUCCAUGUGUAUUUUGUUUCGAUCUGAUAGAAUUAAAUGGACCUUUGUGUGACCUCCCUGACCUAUCCAGAACUCCCACUGGCUUUCAAGAUUGACAGUAAUGCUGGCGAGAAGCUUAUGAAACAGGGCAAAUCUGCUAAGGCAUGUAAACCCCUUUUUCAAUAGUGCCUCAAGCAUUUAGGCACAGAUCUUGGAAGGGAUCUUAGCAGUAAUAAACUUCCUAAACACCACAGCCUCAAUGCCUAAGUUUUCCAGUCUUUGACAUAACCUAACCAGCCAGGGGUCUUAAGAGUCCAAAUGAUAAACAGGCCUGAGGUGCUUUGAGAUCCACAGUGUGUGCCCUACACGUUUAAACAAGUACAUCCCUGACAAAUCCCAAAAGCAUUCCAAAAUCCUGACUCAGGACUGUACUGAGUAGAGUUUCUAACACACAGUAAAUGGACAAUGAUUGCAGUAGAAAGGCUCUGUUUUGUUUUGUUUCUCAUAGUGCUUCAGAUUAUGGCCUUCCAUUGAGCAGCUUUGUGUCCUUAGAGCAAAAAACCUAAAACCUAAGUCUAACUCAGUAUUGAGGAAUUAUUAAUCCCAAGGCACCAUGGAGUUAGUGUGGUCAGUCAGGAGCAGUGACUAUCCCGUAAUUGAAGGUCUCUAAGAAAAGCCUUAUAUGGUUCUGACCUGCCAUGAAUGCAUCUCAAGGGCAGGGUUAUUAUGCUUUAACCAAACAUUUCACUUACAAAUGCCUCUGCUGUUAUCUAAGUUGCUGAUAUCUUGUUGAGGAGUGAACCCAGAGGAGAGAGAACAACGCAAGAAUGUGGAAAUAAUGGUGAGAGAUAGAAAGAAUAUUAAAACAGAACAGAGAAAUUGAAUGGCAAGAGAUGAAGAGGAAUAAAAUAUGCCUUGCAAAGGGCAAGUCACACAAGGCAUGAAGAGGGAGGUUAUUUUGGAAAAUGCAUCGAACCCACCUCCAUUUCUAUUUACAAGCUGAUUCAGCAGUGCCUGUCAUUCAAAUCAUGUCUCAACAGCAAAGGAAUUGUUGUGAGAAGCAAAUCAUAAAACCAACAGGUGCAGAGAACAUGCUGCUGCUGCUGUGUUUGAAAAAAAAUAAAUUACAGGUCUCACAUUUAACAUCAACUACAAAAAGCUGAGGUGGAAGAAACUGCUAUAAGAAUGUGAGCCAGCAAGCUCCUAUCCCUACAGUGGUUUGGUGGUGGUUUUUUUUUUUUAACUCAUCACACCUUCCAUGCAGGAUCUGUGUCUGUGUGUGUGUGUGUGUGUGUGUGUGCGCGCAUGCAUUUGUCUUUUGGGUUUUUUAAUCCAAAUUUCUCACUGGUUUCUCUAAUGAAAGGUCGACUUCUAGAGGACAAAAUCUACUUUCUUCCUCUUAUUAUUUAAAAUUACAUUUUGUCAGCUGCCUAGGGACUUAGCGGCCACAACUAUCUUAUUUACUUUGCUGCCUUCUUCUUCCUUUCUUCUUUAUUGUUAUUACUCUAUAUGAUUAUUAUUAUUAUUAUUAUUACUAUUACUAUUAUUACUAUUACUACUACUACUACUACUACUACUACUACAAUCCUGUGAAUGCUGUGACUGAAAAUGCAGAAUGUCUGAGCCCACACAACUGGAGCAGCAGAGGUGUCUGCAUAUGAGGAAGCACAGCCAACUGCAUGAACUAACAAAUUUUAGCCUUUUCUACAGCAAACCGGUACAGGUUUCAUGUGAACUGCAUUUCUUCAGCAGCAAUAGCAACAUUCACCGGGUGCCAAACUGAUAGUGCCCCGCAAGUGCCCGCCCUUUAGCCAUGGCAAGCACCCACGCACCCGCACACCGCUCAGGCAGAAGGCAGAGGAGCCUCAUCCUAGCCCGCCAGCCAAAUCCAGAGAAAUAUCCUAUCAUUUUGGGACAACUACUUGCAUUGCUUGCAGGAGAGGAUUUUCAAGGAGAAAUGAACCAAAACAGUUUUUUUGACACUGAGCUUUGAAGAGCAUAGUGACUCUUGUCAAAUGUAAUUUAAAAAACACCAAAACACCUUGGCUGUUUCACUUCUUUCCUGCUUGCUUCCCAAGCAUGGAUAUUCAGUGUUUAAAUCCCUCACACAUCUUGAAGCUGACUACCCCACCAUGCAGAUACACUAUAAACUGAUACGGGCUAACAAAGAAAGCCAUAAAUAAAUCUCUUGAUUUUUA